AGGUUUCAAGUAUUGAGAAAGAGGAUGGAAAUGACAAUGGGAAACAUGACUUUAGUGAUGGAAGCUCGCUCUUGAAGCCACUUCUAGUUGAAGAGAGUUGUCUUGAAUAUACUAAAGGACCUGAUGGUGCAUCUUUGGCUCAUGUGCUGAAACCAAAGGUAGAGCUUUCUGGUGAGCAUAAUAGACUUAUUCUUGUUCCAUGUGGUGAU